rnacentral:rRNA from 1 species
UACAGAGGGGGCAAGCGUUAUUCGGAAUUAUUGGGCGUAAAGAGCGUGUAGGCGGCUUGUUAAGUCUUGCGUGAAAUCUCGGGGCUCAACCCCGAGCGGUCGUGAGAAACUGGCAGGCUAGAGUGCGGGAGAGGAGAGUGGAAUUCCAGGUGUAGCGGUGAAAUGCGUAGAUAUCUGGAGGAACACCGGUGGCGAAGGCGACAUCCUGGACCGGUAUUGACGCUGAGGCGCGAAAGCCAGGGGAGCAAACGGG